UCGCGGCUUAUCACCGGCAGUCUCCUUAGAGUGCUCAACUAAAUGGUAGCAACUAAGGACGGGGGUUGCGCUCGUUGCGGGACUUAACCCAACAUCUCACGACACGAGCUGACGACAGCCAUGCAGCACCUGAACCGAAGGUCCCCGAAGGGAAAACCCCAUCUCUGGAGCGGUCCUCCGUUGUCUAGCCCAGGUAAGGUUCUUCGCGUUGCGUCGAAUUGAACCACAUGCUCCACCGCUUGUGCGGGCCCCCGUCAAUUCCUUUGAGUUUCAACCUUGCAGCCGUACUCCCCAGGCGGCUCAUUUAAUGUGUUAGCUACGGCGCGGAAGGGGUCGAUACCUCCCACACCUAAUGAGCAUCGUUUAGGGCUAGGACUAC
rnacentral:misc_RNA from 1 species